GACGAACGCUGGCGGCGUGCUUAACACAUGCCAGUCGAACGGAAAGGCCCUGCUUGCAGGGUACUCGAGUGGCGAACGGGUGAGUAACACGUGGGUGAUCUGCCCUGCACUUCGGGAUAAGCCUGGGAAACUGGGUCUAAUACCGGACAGGAGCCAUUUUUAGUGUGAUGGUUGGAAAGUUUUUUCGGUGUAGGAUGAGCUCGCGGCCUAUCAGCUUGUUGGUGGGGUAAUGGCCUACCAAGGCGGCGACGGGUAGCCGGCCUGAGAGGGUGGACGGCCACAUUGGGACUGAGAUACGGCCCAGACUCCUACGGGAGGCAGCAGUGGGGAAUAUUGCACAAUGGGCGCAAGCCUGAUGCAGCGACGCCGCGUGGGGGAUGACGGCCUUCGGGUUGUAAACUCCUUUCGCUAGGGACGAAGCUUUUUGUGACGGUACCUAGAUAAGAAGCACCGGCUAACUACGUG
rnacentral:rRNA from 1 species